AGAGUUUGAUCAUGUCUCAGGACGAACGCUGGCGGCGUGCCUAAUACAUGCAAGUCGAGCGGACUUGAUGAGGUGCUUGCACCUCUGAAAGUUAGCGGCGGACGGGUGAGUAACACGUAGGCAACCUGCCUGCAGGACCGGGAUAACAUUCGGAAACGAAUGCUAAUACCGGAUACACGAUUUCCUCGCAUGGGGAGAUC
rnacentral:rRNA from 1 species